CGUAAAGCGCGCGCAGGCGGUUUCUUAAGUCUGAUGUGAAAGCCCACGGCUCAACCGUGGAGGGUCAUUGGAAACUGGGGAACUUGAGUGCAGAAGAGAAAAGCGGAAUUCCACGUGUAGCGGUGAAAUGCGUAGAGAUGUGGAGGAACACCAGUGGCGAAGGCGGCUUUUUGGUCUGUAACUGACGCUGAGGCGCGAAAGCGUGGGGAGCAAACAGGAUUAGAUACCCUGGUAGUCCACGCCGUAAACGAUGAGUGCUAAGUGUUAGAGGGUUUCCGCCCUUUAGGGCUGCAGCUAACGCAUUAAGCACUCCGCCUGGGGAGUACGGUCGCAAGACUGAAACUCAAUGGAAUUGACGGGGGCCCGCACAACCGGUGGAGCAUGUGGUUUAAUUCAAACCAACGCGAAAAACCUUACCAGGUCUU
rnacentral:rRNA from 2 species